GCGGAUGGCCGGAUGACCGCGUGGGACAGGGUGCCUGCACCUUGAAGCGCGAGGAAAGUCCGGACUCCACAAGGCAACGGUGCCGGGUAACGCCCGGCCGGGGAAACCCGAGGGAAAGCGCCACAGAGAACAGACGGCCGGCGCUUGUCGCAGGUCACGGUGAAACGGUGGGGUAAGAGCCCACCGCGCGUCUGGCAACAGAGGCGGCACGGCAAGCCCCACCGGGAGCAAUGCCAAAUAGGGACCUUGCGGGGGCAACCCCAGGGCUGUCUUGGCCCAAAGGUCCGGGUUGGCAGCUAGAGGUGUCUGGCAACAGGCAUCGUAGAGGAAUGGUCAUCCAGGGUGGCAACACCUGGACAGAAUCCGGCUUACAGGCCAUCCGCGCAU
rnacentral:RNase_P_RNA from 1 species